AUUGAACGCUGGCGGCAGGCCUAACACAUGCAAGUCGAACGAGUGGCGCACGUGUGUGUAAUGUCUGGGACACUGCCUGAUGGAGGGGGAUAACUUCUGGAAACUGUAGCUAAUACCGCAUACCAUCGGAUGUGCCCAUAUGGGAUUAGCUAGUAGGUGGGGUAAGGGCUCACCUAGGCGACGAUCCCUAGCUGGUCUGAGAGGAUGACCAGCCACACUGGAACUGAGACACGGUCCAGACUCCUACGGGAGGCAGCAGUGGGGAAUAUUGCACAAUGGGCGCAAGCCUGAUGCAGCCAUGCCGCGUGUAUGAAGAAGGCCUUCGGGUUGUAAAGUACUUUCAGCGGGGAGGCGUUACCCGCAGAAGAAGCACCGGCUAACUCCGUGCCAGCAGCCGCGGUAAUAC
rnacentral:rRNA from 1 species